ensembl:lncRNA
GUGUAAUGUGUGCCUGUGUCCCUCUGCGAAUGCUUGCUUGUACCUUUUUAUGUGUGUGUGUAUUUGGGUGUGCAUGUGUGCGCUGUGUGUGCAUGUGUUGCUGUGUGCUGCUGUGUGGGCGUGGGCGUGUUCGUGAUCAAUGUGUGGGUGCGUGUGUGCCUGUCUGUAGUAUCUUUGUGUGCUUCUGUGUAUUGUGUGCACCUGGGCAUGUCAGUGUGCGAAUGUGUAAUCCUCUGUGAGUGUGUGUGCAUACAUGGCUUGAGCAUGCAUUUUUUUUCUAUGUAUGUGUGUGUAACUGCAUGUGUUCUGACAUCUGUGGACAUAUGCGUAACUUAGUGUGAACACAUGCUUUUGUCUUGCACAUGCGUGUAUGUGUGCAUGUGUGUACACAUGCAUGCUUAUGUAUGAGUGCACAGAUAUACUCUUAAGAGGAUUGGUGGUAUACAUGAAUGUGUGAGCUUGGAAGUUUGGUGGGCACUCAAGAAGCAUGAGUAUUUGUGUGUGUCACCAUCCCAGGGUUUUGCAUUUGUCCAUACUACACAGUGGUGUGUUUUUUGUAUGUGUAUGGAGUGUGUGCAUGCAGAAAUGUAUGCCCUGAUUCAGAACUGUUGUGAACAGGCACUUGGAUGUGGAGUGAAGCUUUCUCUAUGUAUUUGUAGGUGCAUAUAUGAAUUUGUAUGAACAUGUAUUUAUCUGCAUAUGGAUUAUAUAUGUCCAGUAGUACAGCAGAGCCAUAGGAAUAGAACUAGAGGAACAUGGAAGAGUCAUGAUUCAUUCCUAAGGCAUUCAAUCCUAAGAUGUGAAAGAGGAAAUUUGCAUUACAAGUGUUCACCCGUGGUUACAAGGGGAGUAGUAUGUGCCUGUCCUCCACCCUCAUUUACUUCCCUGCUCUGUUUCAGUGGGACCAUCAGCCUUUAUUAGAGACUGGCCUCACAAAUGGCUUCCUGUACUUGUCUUUCUAACUGCAAGACUGUGUGUAGCUGCUGUGGGGACAAAUUCUACAAACAGCUUUGUCUUGCUCCCAUGUCAGCAUUUCUCUGAGUUGUUUAUAACCCUGAAGCCUGGGCUGUGUGUCCUGUCUCCUACCAUGCCAUCCAUGCUUGUACUUCUGCUUCUACAGUCACAGUGUACAAGUAUAAGUAAAAAUAAAACAGAAUAUAGCACCACUCACUAGAAAAGCAGAUGUUAUAUAUAAAAAAAAAAAAAAAAAUGUCCAGGCAAGCUGAUGCAAGUGACAUGAAGUAAACCUUGCAAACACUAAUCCUGAGGCUCUGAGAGUAAGUACACAACUACAGUCUGUUACUACCAAUGACGUUCCUGUGCAUACUGGGCUACUGGGGUAAAAAGUCCUAUGCAAACAUAAAUUACAAACCAUACCUGAUAGUAUUCAAGGUAAAAUCAAUUUCAAAGUUAACAAAGGAGACAGAAAACCUGAACAACAGUGCUCAUGGACCAACCCUGGAGACCCUCAUGGAGAGAGUCGAACUACUGGCAAUUGGGAAUAUGAUGAUUUACUGUGAUGCCCUGCUGUACUUUUAUAACUAUUGUAUUCCGAUUCAUAUUGUAAUGGCACUGAGUAUAAAUUCUAGACAUCUCACAUAAAGUAUGUUCUUUUCAUGCAUUUAAUGAUGUUUUGAGUGCAACACUCAUUUUUUCAAACAAGAAAAAGAAAAUAUUGAUCAUUUAUUUGACUGGAUUUUUUCAGUGAUUAUUCUAUCAUUUUUAGUGCUUACUACAUCAAAAACCUUUUGCAGCAUCUUUCUAAGUCUGCAAUAAUAAGUAAGAUUUAAUCAUAAUCUACUACUUCCAAGUAAGAAUUAGUAUUCAUCAGCUGUUGGGACCUAGUUUUUGACACUUUGAAUUCAACCAUCUAGAGAACACAACCAAUCUCUGAAUUCAGCUCUGUAUUUGUGCUCUGUCUUAUUAUAAACUAAGUUGAAUUAUAUAUUUUAUAUGUAUCCUACUGUACAGUGUGGAAGUCAGAAAUGAUGCCUUCUUAAGGAAUUAUUAUCAGUUGAUUUUGUCAUGUUUGCCUUCAUAAGAAGAAAUAUAAUCAGCAAAUUAAUUGAGAGAUGUCCAAAAUAAAAUAUUUUUAAAUUUGUGCAUUGUCUGAUUACACCUUGAAAGUCUAAAGCAAGGAAGAUCAAAUACAAACACCAGAGGCCACAGAAUAACACUAGUAAGAGACAAUUACUACAUCAAGAGACAGCAUUGAUUAUUACAUUUGCCUUUACUUUUAUAAAUUAGUCUCCUUCAUUUUAUAUAUAUUUAUCUUACGUACAAAAAAGUGAAAUGGAAAAUUAAGAUUGAAUACAACUGUCUGUGGAGAAGGUUGGGCAGAGAGGUUGUAAACUUUUCCUCCAUGGAAGAUUUCUAGGCCAGGCCUGGGCUGUUUGAUCUGAUCCUGUGGCUGGUCCUGUCCUGCGAAUGAGGAUGUGCUGGAUAUCUCCAGAGGUCCUUUCCAGUCCCAGCAGGAAACAUACUGGAGCAAGGCAGGCUACUGGGCAAGAAGGGAAAACAGAUUUCAGUCUCUCUGUCAUCAUGUGGGCAGAUGCUUAUUGUGUGGUGGUUCUCUUUAGCCUAUACAUGAUAUAUCAGUUCAGUCUGUAACCUCCUUGAAACAUGGAAUGUGCCUGUUGCCAUUGCACAUCUCCUAGUUUGAUGGGACUAAGAAGCAGGGACUAUUACAAACCAAAUGAAUACAAUACAUUGUUAAGCAGAUAUUAAAUGACUAUUUGGGGAAUAAAUGUUUUUGCAUUGUGAUUCAUAGCAAAUUCUGCCUGUACAAAGUUGUGGUUAUUCCCUCCCAGUUGUAGGACUGUACAUUUGAUCUCGUUGAACCUCAUAAUGUUCCUCUCUACCCAACACUCACCUUGUCCAGGUCCCACUGAAUGGUAUCACAGCCUUCUGGCAUGUUGGACAUUCUUCCCAACUUUGCAUCAUCAGCAAAUUUGCUGAGGGUGCACUCUAUCUUUUCAUCCAGGUCAUUGAUGAAUAUUGUUGAUGUUGUAAUUCAUAAACAAUAUUAUACAUGUGACACAUACAAACUUCCCUCUUUUAGUUUGGAAACGGUUUGACUCUCGUUCAUGGACUGGUAUACUGGCUUUGUAUUCCUGCAGUGCCUGAUUGUUAUCAAAAGAUUUAGAUUGCUUUAUCUCUUAUUUCCACCUAUAUAAACCUUUAUGCUUCUUUUCUUUUUGUCUGCUGGCUGUUACACAGUGCUCAAUGAUGGUACUCUGGUAGGUUAUUUGAUGUAUAGCAGGUGGUUUGGUUUCCAGGUUGUACUUUUGAGUCUGCUUUUCAAUAGUUAUUCACCAUUAAAUGCAACUGAAUAAGA